CCUACGGAGUGCAGCAGUGAGAAAUAUUGGUCAAUGGGAGAGAUCCUGAACCAGCCAAGCCGCGUGAGGGAAGACGGCCCUAUGGGUUGUAAACCUCUUUUGUCGGAGAACAAAACCCGGGACGUGUCCCGGACUGCGUGUAUCCGAAGAAAAAGCAUCGGCUAACUCCGUGCCAGCAGCCGCGGUAAUACGGAGGAUGCGAGCGUUAUCCGGAUUUAUUGGGUUUAAAGGGUGCGUAGGCGGUCCGUUAAGUCAGCGGUAAAAUUGCGGGGCUCAACCGUAAAAUUGCAGUUGAAACUGGCAGUCUUGAGUACAGUAGAGGUGGGCGGAAUUCGUGGUGUAGCGGUGAAAUGCUUAGAUAUCACGAAGAACUCCGAUUGCGAAGGCAGCUCACUGGACUGCAACUGACACUGAGGCUCGAAAGUGUGGGUAUCAAACAGGAUUAGAUACCCCAGUAGUC
rnacentral:rRNA from 1 species